ACCUAUUGGAUCUUUCUACUCUCAUUCUCCAUCAGAUGCAGGAAGCAAUUACAAAAAGCAAAGAAAAUCUACCAUUUGGAUGCCCUUGACUCUAGUAUUCAAGCAUGUCAGGAUUAAUCUUGACAAUGAAUCAUGCAAAGUGUUGCAUCACUUAGAUACAUAUAACAAGCACUCUCUUAAGAGAAUGGGAUAUGAAAAGUUUGGAGGAAUUUGGGUAAGAAAAGGAUCGUGUGGAAAAAGAAAGGCU
rnacentral:lncRNA from 1 species